CUUUAUUCAACCUAGCACUUCCCAAACUUAUUUAACUUCAGUUCUUUUUUUUUUUUAUUCCUGUGAUCUUUCUUUCCUGUUCUACAAAACUAGCAUUCCACAGAACACACUUUGGAGUGAUAACAUAGACAUGAGAAAACUGAAGAAUCUGCUGAGUAACAAGUUGGAUCAAGAUCUAUUUGAAUCUAAAACGAACAGGGGUUAAGUUCUUCAAGGGAAUGCUCAAAGAAUCCUGUACACUGAGAGUCAGGAGCUGAAUGUGGAAUUGGCAUCAUCUCCCAUAUCUCACACGGGGGAGGUGCUCUGAAGAGCGACGGCAGAAGGCUGAGAAUUACAGGUUCAACUGAUUUAGGAAAACAAAUGAAACCUUGGUUUUUGCUGCUAAAAUUCUCGUUUGCUAGACUAAAACAUUUUCUAUCAACUUUUUAUUUGGUAGAUAAAAUGCACAUAUGAAAAACAGUACUUUUUAAUGUCGUCUUAAAGAUUAGAUGCUCAUAGGUGUAAAUAGAGGUUUCAGUCCUUUCAUCGUUGCUGUGCAACUAUGGGGAAGCCUAGAGGGAUUUCAGGAUGGGUUUUCAUUUUGUCUGAGGUUGGUUAGUAACUGUGAAAAAGUAACUCUCCAAGCAAGAUCUGAUAUAAUUACGUGGUCUGAAUCCUUUUGACAUCUUUAGUGGGGGCACUGGACAUGUCAUUUGGAAGGAAGGAUGACACAAGAGUGAACAGAGGGAAUAAAGAAGAGAUCAUCUAGGACCCAGAUAGAAAGAUGACGUCACACAGGGAAGAGGCCAUCUGAGGACACAACCAGAAGGAGGUCCUCUACAAGCCAGGAAGACAGCCUUCUCCAGAAAUCAACCUGAUGGCACCUUGAUCUUUGACUUCCAGCCACCAGAACUCUGAGAAAAUGAAUUUCUGUUGUUUGAACCACCUGGUCUGUUGUAUUUCAUUAUGGCAGCCCAAGCAGAGUAAUACAGAAGGCCAGGCCCCUAGAUCCUGGAAAAGUCUUGCUCUUUGCUGAGGUGCCUGUUAAAAUUUAAUGUAUUCAUGAG
rnacentral:lncRNA from 1 species